GCCCGGGUGGCGGAAUUGGCAGACGCGCCAGCUUGAGGGGCUGGUGGCCGUAAGGCUGUGCAGGUUCGACUCCUGUCCCGGGCA
rnacentral:tRNA from 1 species